AACUACUGACACAAUUUCCUCAGAGAUAGAAGACAAAGUGCUGCGGCCAUGAAACAAAGACUUUCCAACAAAAAAGGAAGAGUCUGGGCUUUCACAAUUUAGAAACAGUAAAAUUAAAGAAUUAAUAGAAGGGAUGAACGAUAAAGUUGAGAAACCUUCCCAGAAAGUAGGGCAAAAUGACAGAUAUUAAGAGAGAAAAUAUAAGAUCAUUACAGAACUAUGAUAUAGUGUCUGACCUCUGAGAAGGGGAACAGAACAGAUAAAAUGGAGGGCAGAAAAUCAUCAAAGAAAUCAUUCAAGAAAACUUUUCCAGAUCUGAAAGAAAUAAAUUAGCUUUAUGUCACUGCUACCUUUGCAGACAGGAGCACUGGCAAUGGGAGGUGGGGCUUGAGGGCUCUAGGGGCUGGGCCUCUCCCAUGGGAUCCUCUACUGGAAGCACCAAGAGGCUGGACUGCCAGGUGCCCCAGGACCACAGGGCAGCCACACUUGGGUCCUUUCAAAAGGAAGCUCACCCACCCCAACCUCCUUAAGAGUGGGGGAGAACACUUUCCUCACCACAGGUCAGAGUCACAUACUCAAGCCUGUAGAGGGGAAAUGACAGAGAUGAGUUGGCAAAUAAAAGACAUGGAAAGUUGAAGUAAAUGCAGUGAAAUCUCAGUAAUGCAAAAUCUUGAACAUUGGUUCUGAAGCGGAAGCUUCCAAUAUUGGGAAAAGAUGGAAAGAGCUGUGUCUUUUAAGUGGAGAAUUGGAUGACAGGGGUAGGAAGCUCACUGACAUAGAGGCAGCACACCAAAACCAGCUUCUACUGUGAAGGGAGGCUUAGCAGAAAGAGGCAAGACAGAAGGAUUCUGGAAGAAGUUUCCAGAAAAUUAUAACAAGGCCACCUGGGAAGAAGUCAGACACCCUCCCACCCAUUUUCCUCCUCCCAAGGAUGCUAAGGAUGGGACAGAAACUGUGGCGAAGACACCACUUGCACUUUCUGCUCAGGUAGGACGGUUUGAUUGGACACUCUCUACAAUAAUGAGGCUAACAGUCAAAGAUGAACUGAGGCAAUCACACCGCCAUCUGGUCAGGCCAAUUUAAGUUGCUAGGAUAUGUGUUCUGUGAUGGAAGGACUGAGGGGCCAAACUGAAAAUUCUACAGAGUGCCCAGCAUGGUAGGUAGAAACAAACCCACACUAAGGCCUCUCAUCACAAAAUUUCACACAAAUAGGGACAAACAGAGGACCUUAUAAACAUCCAGGGAGAAAAUAUUGGUACAGAAAAGCAUCGACAACCUGAAAAGCAUCAGAUGCCUGCCUGUAACAGUGGAAGCAGGGAGACAAUGAGGCAAUGCCUUCAAAAUUCUAAGAAAUUAUUUCCAACCUAGAAUUCUACAACCAGGAGAAGGAAAUAAAUCAAGAAAG
rnacentral:lncRNA from 10 species